ensembl:lncRNA
AUGGAUAUUUAACAAACAAAACAUAAUUCAACUAUAAAUAAAAAUGUUGACAACCCCACAUAAACAUGUAAGCAUACAAGAGUAAUUUUCUAGUUCAAGUUUUGCCUUUUUUACUUCAAGUUUUAUUAUCACUUUUAAAAAUAAACAAAAAGCUGCUACAGCUUAACCAAUUACUUUCGCUCCACGCAAAAAGCAGGGAAUUUUUUCCCCAUGCCAACACACAUUCAUGAAAUGGGAUACUUAUGGGCACAGGUAUUAAACACUGGAAUAAUCCAGUCUCCAGACAAGAAAAGAUUCCUUUGGUGUUUUCAGAUUCAACAGUCCACAGAAAAUGAAUUAAAACAAUCAAAGGAAAUUUUGCCAGACAGUAUGUUUUAUGUCACACUCAAAACAGGUUCAGGAUUGUGAGAAUCAAAAGCAGUAUCUACGAAUGCUUUGCUGAUACGUUACAAUUGUAUUCACUAAGGUGCUGGAAUAGAAUUCUUAGAGACAAAAUAAAAACUACACAUCAAUGAAAAACUUCUACACUGUAGUAAUACAUAUCUUUGUAAGUCAUCGAAUGUUCUGUAAAUAAUUACUCUGCCUCCUGUUGAGAUUUAAGGGAGAGUAACAUUACAUAAUAUUUUAAGACUAGAAAAUUUUCCAUUUGAAAUAUAAGAAAACAGCCAUGCUGAAUAUCACUUUUUUUUUCAUUCCUGUCAAAUUAAGAACCUUCCUCUUAUUAAAAUAAGCUAUUCUCUUUUUCUGGGAAGUUCAGCAAAUAAAUGUACAGUCAUUUUGCAUCAUUUACUUAAAUUAAAAGGCGUUUCUAAUAAGCUGGGCUUUUCACCUGACUCAAUACAGACCACUUUAUUACACUGCUAAAUCAGAAUAAAUCACAAGCAAUCACAGAUUAAAGCCUAGCAAAGUCUAGACAACGGGUUCAAAAAUGAUAACAAAAGGUUUUGUAGCACCAAUGACUUUUUUCCUAAGACACUUGAGGGGUGUGUUUCACUUUAAAGUAUUAUUUUGUAAACAAGACCAAAAAUAUUCCGCUGAUCUGUAUUUUGAGCAUAUUUAUAAACUCUAUUAAAAAACAAAUAUAGCAUGACUAUAGCAGCUAACAGUGUAAAAUUUAAGUAUAUUGAAAAAUAUAAAGAUAUAAAAGGCUUCCAUAAUCCAAUCAUGCAGAGGUAAACCACUUCAUUUAAUUACACAAGUGAUUCUGUACAGUUAUCUAUGUACACAUAGCUCCAUGAGAAUAUUGUUAAAGAAAAUGAGAACUUUUAUCUUUAAC